AUGGCGGCAGCGCUUUGGAUUGCGGCGAAGAGGAUCUGCGGUGGCGCCCUCGAGCGACCACCGCAGGGGCUUCUCUCGGCUGCCAAGGAGCUGACAUCGAGGACUAGCAAUGGCGGGAGCUCUCUUCGCCGGUUCGGCUCCUCCGAAUCACCAAGCCUGCUUAAUAAGAACAACAAGCAUGGAGCCAAAUCCGCCGCCAGCAUUGCAGAAUCCUCCACACAAGUGAAGCACCCUGCAUCAUCAUCACCACGUCCACCUAAAGAUGAGAAGCAGUUUCUGGCCACUGUAAUGAAAUUAACACUCGGCGCCGUGGUAUUUACGGUUGCAGGCCUCUACGUGGAGGCCAAGUAUAUAAUCAAUGGCCCUUUCCUUGGGAGGGAGCGGCCUGUGGAGGACACUGGUGAACGUUCAGAUGCUAUAUGCUUUAUCAAGUAA
rnacentral:rRNA from 1 species